UACGUAGGGUGCAAGCGUUGUCCGGAAUUAUUGGGCGUAAAGCGCUCGCAGGUGGUUCGUCGCGUCGUGCGUGAAAGACCCCGGCUCAACUGGGGGAGGUCGUGCGAUACGGGCGGACUGGAGGCCAGUAGGGGGAUGCGGAAUUCCGGGUGUAGUGGUGGAAUGCGUAGAGAUCCGGAGGAACACCAGCGGCGAAGGCGGCAUCCUGGACUGGUCCUGACACUCAUGAGCGAAAGCGUGGGGAGCGAUCCGG
rnacentral:rRNA from 1 species